rnacentral:rRNA from 1 species
CUACGGGUCGCUCCAGUGGGGAAUAUUGCACAAUGGGCGCAAGCCUGAUGCAGCCAUGCCGCGUGUAUGAAGAAGGCCUUCGGGUUGUAAAGUACUUUCAGCGGGGAGGAAGGGAGUAAAGUUAAUACCUUUGCUCAUUGACGUUACCCGCAGAAGAAGCACCGGCUAACUCCGUGCCAGCAGCCGCGGUAAUACGGAGGGUGCAAGCGUUAAUCGGAAUUACUGGGCGUAAAGCGUACGCAGGCGGUUUGUUAAGUCAGAUGUGAAAUCCCCGGGCUCAACCUGGGAACUGCAUCUGAUACUGGCAAGCUUGAGUCUCGUAGAGGGGGGUAGAAUUCCAGGUGUAGCGGUGAAAUGCGUAGAGAUCUGGAGGAAUACCGGUGGCGAAGGCGGCCCCCUGGACGAAGGCUGACGCUCAGGUGCGAAAGCGUGGGGAGCAAACAGGAUUAGAUACCCCUGUAGUC